AUGAAUGGCCUCAAGUUUAACUUUUGUUGUUGGAAUGUCCGUGGUCUUGGCCAAAGUCAGAAAUGCUCGGACGUCCUCUCUGAGCUCAUCGCCAUUAACCCUCAUGCGUGUUUCCUUCAAGAAACAAAACUCAGCGCUAUCACUCUCCUUACAAAAAAAAUUCUCCCAAAACACCUCGAUCUCACCCACACCCUGCCGGCUACGGGCUCGGCCGGAGGCAUUCUCUCGGCCUUCUCAUCCUCUCAGUUUUCUCUCCUCACUUUAGACGCUGGCCUCUUCUCCCAAACCUCUACGAUCUCCUGCCUUGCCUCCCCUCAAACGCUCGCUGUCACAAACGUCUACGCACCCACUGACCAUGCCCUCAAACAGGAUUUCCUGUCUGAGUUUGCCUCCUUCAUACCCCCCUCGCCCACCCCCUGGCUUAUCUUGGGUGACUUCAACCUCCUAUGGCGCCCCUCGGACAAAAACACGCAUAACUUCAGGCAAUCCGAAGGUGACAUGUUCAACGCCUUUAUCCACCUUCAUGGGCUAAUCGAGCUUCCUCUCCUUGACCGCUGUUACACGUGGUCGAGCAAGAGGGAUCAGCCCACCCUCGAAAAAUUAGACCGAGUUUUCAUUAAUGUUGACUGGGACCUUCUCUUUCCAAACACCACAAUCGCUUCACUAACCCGCUAUAUCUCGGACCACGUUCCCCUUCUAAUCACGAUAGACACCAUCAUCCCUCGCCUUGCUCUUUUUCGAUUUGAAAAUCGUUGGGCUGUUCGACCGGCCUGCCUUGUCGUUGUUCAAACAGCUUGGGCUGAGGCCCAGAUACGUUCCAACCAUGCCCUGAACCUUGCCGCCGCUCUCAAACGGACGCGUUCCGAUCUUAAAAGGUGGCGACGCUCUGCUAUUCCUCUGAACACUCACGAAAAGAAUUGCAAAACAGUUAUAUCUAUUCUUGAUAUCAUUGAAGAAUCUCGCUUUCUAUCUCCCAUUGAGCUUGCUCUUUGCCAGGUUAUCAUCAAAGUCCUACAACGCACUCUUCGUGAAAAAGCGUUGUACUGGAUCCAACGUGGGAAAGUCCGAACUGCGCUGGAAGGAGAUGAAAACUCUAGAUUCUUCCAUGCCUCGGCCUCUGCCCGUCUUCGCAAAAAUAAGAUCACGGUCCUGGAGGCAAAUGGCUCUGAGUUUUUUUUUCUCAUGACGCUAAAUCAAAAAUCCUCUCCGACUACUACACCUCCCUACUCGGCACUGCUUUUCAACCCACUUGGUCCUUCUCCCUCCUAG
rnacentral:rRNA from 1 species